GCUGGGGAUGGAGCUCAGUGGAAGAGCACGUGCUUAGCACGUAUGUGCAAGGCCCUGGGUUCAAACCCCAGCACGGCG
rnacentral:tRNA from 1 species